CAGAAAAUUCAGUAUUUGACGAAGAAGUGCUCUUGUAUGUAAUUUUUAGACUGCAAAACGAUCUUUGAGAAGUACAUUUGAAAGAUUUGAAAGAUUUCGACGUAGGGAAGUGUAAUUAUUGAAGCUUAUUUUCCUGCCCUAAAGGCAAUGCCAUAUGCAAUUAAAAAGAAAUAAGAUGUCAGUUACCUGUUUGAAGUAUGAAGACUCAAAUUUUCUUGAUCAGUGCAAUUUAUCUCCCUUGGAAAUUCAUGGUCAAUGCUGUGUCCAUCACUCGAUCCUGUGUCAUCUUCUGAAAAAUUAAGAAAGAAAAUUUAUUAUCAAAGGUCCACUUUGAGCUUCAUCCACUGUAACAAAGAAUGAAGAUUAAAAUCUUGCAGUGCAAUUUAUCUCCCUUGGAAAUUUAUGUACAAUGCUGUGUCCAUCACUCGAUCCUGUGUCAUCUUCUGAAAAAUUAAGAAAGAAAAUUUAUUAUCAAAGGUCCACUUUGAGCUUCAUCCACUGUAACAAAGAAUGAAGAUUAAAAUCUUGCAGUGCAAUUUAUCUCCCUUGGAAAUUUAUGUACAAUGCUGUGUCCAUCACUCGAUCCUGUGUCAUCUUCUGAAAAAUUAAGAAAGAAAAUUUAUUAUCAAAGGUCCACUUUGAGCUUCAUCCACUGUAACAAAGAAUGAAGAUUAAAAUCUUGCAGUGCAAUUUAUCUCCCUUGGAAAUUUAUGUACAAUGCUGUGUCCAUCACUCGAUCCUGUGUCAUCUUCUGGAAAAGUAAAGAAAGCAAAUUUAUUAUCAAAGGUCCACUUUGAGCUUCAUCCACUGAAACAAAGAAUGAAGAUUGAAGUCUUGCAGUGUAAUUUAUCUCCCUUGGAAAUUCAUGGUCAAUGCUGUGUCCAUCACUCGAUCCUGUGUCAUCUUCUGGAAAAGUAAAGAAAGUAAUUUCAUCAUAACUGAUUAGAUGUGCUGAAAUGAUGUAAAUUAGGUCCACAGUCUUGUGAAUGAUUUUCAUGUGGGCCAUCUAAAAAUUCAACAUGACCUUCUGAUGUCUUCCACCAUACAUUGAUACCAACUUCAAGAAAAUCAGAAAUUCUUUGACAGUGUGCCUGUAUUAGACGGUGUCUGGAAGCAAUUAACUGACCGGGAAUGAUGGAGUUUCCUCUGGGAGGAAGCAAACGAGCUUGCUGGCUGAUGGCUGAAUCCUGAUGUUCAAAAGAAUCAAUUUGGUCUUCACUGUCCUGCUUUGCUAAAAAUCUCAAGACACAGUUAUCAACAACAUAUUUGGCUUGUCGGUUACUGGUUCUGACAGAGAUAGAUCUAAGAUCUCCAAAUGUCCUUUCCUGGUUUUCUGGAAGAAGGGACCUUAAGCAAAAUAGUCGAUACAUUUCAGGAAAAUGAACUGUGAAGCUGUGGAAGUGUGAGCCAUAAAAUUUUCCUUUUGUAAGUUUCUUAGGGUUGAUGAUGACAUAUUUGAUCAAAAUGGCAAAAAGAAAGCAUUGGUUAUAUAAUCUUAAAACCUGCUUUUGUGUCCUUUCAUUUGAACGACUGUAACAAAUGGUAAUGAUUUCUACAAGGCUGUUGCAGAUUGUCAGGAUGUCAGCAUUAACAAGACCAUCUUCGUAAUUCAUAUUAGUGAAGUGAGCUAGCUUGAUAGCGUAUAAGCGUGCAUUGCUGGCUUUCAAUUCAUUUUUGUCACCCACAGUAACUUCAAAGAACCUCAGGUAUUCUUUUUGAAUGUUGUCAUCAAGGUGGUAUGGCAAUUCAGUUAUCAAGUUUUGAACAACAUUCACAAUGUCGUGAAGUGGCUCACAGUUGGAAAUUUCAUAUUGUUCUAAAUUUUCGGUGGUACAUGUAUUGUUAAAAUUGGGACAAAACAAGGCAGGUGGUCUCUGUAUUCCAUGUAGUGUCUCUGUAAGAAGUGUUUUCAGUUCAGGUUUUUUUAAGUUGUAAAUAUCAAGGUUUCUGUAAUCUAGCUCAUCAGUAAGGGUUUCCUUGGUUAAAUUUACAAAGGGGUUGAUGUUGUUCUGCAUGUUGAAAGUUUUCCACAGAGUACCAGCUUUAAAAAGAUCAAGACAUUGCUGUAAAGAUUGA